GCCAGUUAGGGUUACACCGCCAGCAAUCGUCGAUUGGAUUUCCGGUUCCACAGUUCACGUAGCUCAGCUGUCGCCGUGAGUCGUUAAUGCUCCUGUAUAGCCAUUUUGCAACACUAAUACUGUUAGUAGCAGGGGAUUAAAAAAGCAUUCAUGGAUCAUACUCAUGGAGAAAUGUUGAAGAAAAAAGUUAACAUGAUCAAGUCGAAAAAUAUACAGCUCAAGAACAGUAGACAGGUAUAUCGCCCAUUCAUAUUCCUGUACAUGCACAGAACUCGGUGUUUGCAUUGCCAAAUUGCUGAGGAUUAAUUGCAUUUAACUUCCCUAGACAGUGAUUGAAAAAGAAGAUCCCAGGGGCGUCUCGACAACAUUUUUGGUAUUUAUCUUUUAUCUCCAAUAAUAGAAGCAGGCUUUCAACAGUCACAAAUAAAUGAUAUUAGUCGUUCACUUACAUUAUCUACAGCUUUAUUGCUUGUCGAACAAACAAUCGCAUUUAUUUUUAUUCUCCUGCAUUUUAGAUCUUUAUUUGUAAUUUGUCUAGCUAAUUCUUGAGCUAUGAAUUAACAGUACCGUCUCCAUCUCUAUCCAUUAAUGCCUCUGCAUUGAUCUUAGAUAAACAUUUUAGUCAUUAUUCUAUCAAAAUGUAUGGAACAGCUUUGACUAUAAUGCAGGGUUGUCUAUAAAUCUAACGAUACCUUUUGCAAAUUUCAGUAUUUAAAGUGCGAAUACCUUUGAACCAUCUCAACAACUCUUUCUGGAUCAUCUAUUGAAGAAGAUUUGUUCCGCGUAUGGUGAUGCUGCAUUUGUUUAGGGGAUCUACUUCCCGAAAAUCCCAGCAAAUUGUUGAAAAAUCCAAAUGUCUUGGCUGCAGAACAUUUUGGUAUGACGAUUUGGAUGCACAGAACUCCAAUCACUACAAUGCAGCAGGAUAACUGCCUCAUCCUUUGCAUUCUCAUUUCAAUUCUACAGAAAUCUCACAACUGUGACUGAUGAGAAGGGAAGAAAAAGCUCUACCGACUGACAGGGGAACAUAAGUUGCUCUGUACCGGCUUUUGGACUGUCUCGAAGUACGCUUCUGACCAAUCGCAGCUCUUUUUUCAAGAAGAGUGCUUUUACAAAAGCUCGAUUGAAGACUAGAAAUAUGACCAAUGUAGAAAUCGAUGAUUAUCGAUUUCUAUACCGUUCCUCAAUAUUUAAUGCCAAUUCAGAAAUUACUGCUUUAUAUGCCGUUCAAUGAUAAUUCAGGAAAUUGCAGACUGUAUUCUCUGAGUUGCACGAUUCUCGUGAACAACCAACUCUCUAUUUAUGGUUGCAUUUGAUUGAGUCCCUGUUCACACGGGGUCAUUUAAAAGGACUGAAGAAAAGAAUUUUGGUUUUCCUGCAUUGCAUUCUUUCAUCACUAGACAUCACAGAAGUAAUUAUUGGUAUAAGAAUCCAAAGCCUUGGCGGUUACACAUGCUUACUUCACUAGAAGUUAAUUAAUAUUCCUCACUAAACAUCAACUUUAAUAGACCUUUUACAACAGGGCCCAAUGCAUUUUUUAACAUUUAUUUUCAUAGCUUCAGGUAGUUUGAUUAUAUGUACAAAUUCAUUAACUUGUUGCGUAUACAUUUAAACAGUGAUGUAGGUUCUGAACUUUGUUCUUUUAACUAUUCGUAUGAUGUAUAAGCUUGAUGCUGGAGCACAAAUUCAAGAUAGAAACGGUGCUCCUAUCAAUUAAUGGAAGCUUUCAAAUCGAGUAAGCAAUUGUUGAUCUAGUCAUAUGUAUGGACAACAUGAGGCAAAGGUCAAAAGAAUACAACAAUGCACAGCUAAGGGUGAUGGGUCAAGCUGCCCAGUUGUUAAACAUUACACGCAAACCGUCCACUUUUUGAACACUGGACGUAAUCUAUCCUUUUGCGGUGGCAGGGCCCACUUCACACGCAGGCAUGCAGGGUAAUGUCUGAUCGUCUUUGAUGGCUUUGAAAAAAGAGACAUUUUCACCCUUAAUUAUCUUUCGCACGUGCAUCUGCCUUCCUUUCUUCCAAAGAAAUUCUGGAUUUCAGUAAUACUAAUGAAUAUUGAAAUAAUUCACUUUUGACAUAAUGUUAACGCACCU